GUAUUGAAGGUGAUGCCUGCCCGGUGACCUGAGGUUCAACGGCCGCGGUAUCCUAACCGUGCAAAGGUAGCGCAAUCAAUUGUCCCGUAAAUCGGGACUAGUAUGAAUGGCGAAACGAGGUCUUAACUGUCUCUUACAGGCAAUCGGUGAAAUUGAUCUCCCUGUACAAAAGCAGGGAUAAACCCAUAAGACGAGAAGACCCUGUGGAACUUCAAAAACAGCAGCCACCCCAAAUUACAUACCAACCCACCCGGGCUCACUAACCUAAACGGGCUACUGGCUUGCAUUUUUUCGGUUGGGGCGACCUUGGAGCAAAACAAAACCUCCAAAUAUUGGACCACACAUCUAGACUAAGAGCAACACCUCAAAGUGCUAAAAGCAACCAGAUCCAAUAUAAUUGAUCAAUGGACCAAGCUACCCCAGGGAUAACAGCGCAAUCUCCUCCAAGAGUCCAUAUCGACGGGGAGGUUUACGACCUCGAUGUUGGAUCAGGACAUCCUAGUGGUGCAGCCGCUACUAAGGGUUCG
rnacentral:rRNA from 1 species